GGACAGAUGGGAGCUUGCUCCCUGAUGUUAGCGGCGGACGGGUGAGUAACACGUGGGUAACCUGCCUGUAAGACUGGGAUAACUCCGGGAAACCGGGGCUAAUACCGGAUGCUUGUUUGAACCGCAUGGUUCAAACAUAAAAGGUGGCUUCGGCUACCACUUACAGAUGGACCCGCGGCGCAUUAGCUAGUUGGUGAGGUAACGGCUCACCAAGGCAACGAUGCGUAGCCGACCUGAGAGGGUGAUCGGCCACACUGGGACUGAGACACGGCCCAGACUCCUACGGGAGGCAGCAGUAGGGAAUCUUCCGCAAUGGACGAAAGUCUGACGGAGCAACGCCGCGUGAGUGAUGAAGGUUUUCGGAUCGUAAAGCUCUGUUGUUAGGGAAGAACAAGUACCGUUCGAAUAGGGCGGUACCUUGACGGUACCUAACCAGAAAGCCACGGCUAACUACGUGCCAGCAGCCGCGGUAAUACGUAGGUGGCAAGCGUUGUCCGGAAUUAUUGGGCGUAAAGGGCUCGCAGGCGGUUUCUUAAGUCUGAUGUGAAAGCCCCCGGCUCAACCGGGGAGGGUCAUUGGAAACUGGGGAACUUGAGUGCAGAAGAGGAGAGUGGAAUUCCACGUGUAGCGGUGAAAUGCGUAGAGAUGUG
rnacentral:rRNA from 2 species